UACUAUGAUCCGGAAAGUGGUUCAGGAUACAUUGCAUGGCGGUUGAAGACCAUUCAACGAAAGGCUUCUGAGGAAAGAGUUCCAGCAGUUAAAUCUCCUAAAGUUGGUGGGCCAGGCCAUGGACGUACUACACCCUUUACUGCCGAAGUCCUGACUGAUGAGGAAGUGGAAUCCGCUAUCGCUGUGUUGAGACAUUCUGCUGAUGAGGAAACCAUCCGUGAAAAAAUGAAAACCACCUUCAGUUACCGCCAAGCAAUGGUCAAUGACCAUGACAAAUCUGCAGAGGUCUUCUCAGUUUUUCCACGGUUCCUGGACACACCAGGACUGGUAGAGCAGGAUUUCAGACUGAUGUUUGGCGAGCAGACUGCCAAUAAAUUCCUGGAGAGAUGGCCUACCACUUUCAGGGCAAGAGUCAUUAAGGAAAGCCAUGGACUGGUCCCCUCC